rnacentral:rRNA from 1 species
GAUGAACGCUGGCGGCGUGCCUAAUACAUGCAAGUCGAGCGAACAUACGAGGAGCUUGCUCCUCUGACGUUAGCGGCGGACGGGUGAGUAACACGUGGAUAACCUACCUUUAAGACUGGGAUAACUUCGGGAAACCGGAGCUAAUACCGGAUAAUAUAUUGAACCGCAUGGUUCACUAGUGAAAGACUGUUUUGCUGUCACUUAUAGAUUGAUCCGCGCCGCAUUAGCUAUUUGGUAAGGUAACGGCUUACCAAGGCAACGAUGCGUAGCCGACCUGAGAGGGUGAUCGGCCACACUGGAACUGAGACACGGUCCAGACUCCUACGGGAGGCAGCAGUAGGGAAUCUUCCGCAAUGGGCGAAAGCCUGACGGAGCAACGCCGCGUGAGUGAUGAAGGUCUUCGGAUCGUAAAACUCUGUUAUUAGGGAAGAACAAAUGUGUAAGUAACUAUGCACGUCUUGACGGUACCUAAUCAGAAAGCCACGGCUAACUACGUG